rnacentral:rRNA from 1 species
CCUACGGGAGGCAGCAGUGGGGAAUAUUGCGCAAUGGGCGAAAGCCUGACGCAGCGACGCCGCGUGAGGGAUGAAGGUCUUCGGAUCGUAAACCUCUGUCAUCAGGGAAGAACGGUCACUGUGCUAAUCAGCAGUGAAUUGACGGUACCUGCAAAGGAAGCACCGGCUAACUCCGUGCCAGCAGCCGCGGUAAUACGGAGGGUGCGAGCGUUAAUCGGAAUUACUGGGCGUAAAGCGCUCGUAGGCGGUAUGGCAAGUCAAGGGUGAAAUCCCCGCGCUCAACGUGGGAACUGCCUUUGAAAACGGGAAAAUGGAGUGUGUGAGAGGAUAGGGGAAUUUCAGGGGGAGGAGUGAAAUCCGG